AUUGAUUAUCAAAACCACAAUGUGAACCAGUUGUCCCACGCUUUUGCGCAGCGCGGUGCCUAGCACUGGCGGGCCUUGGGAUUGCCCCCUCACGGGGGCUUUCACAGGGUUAUCUGCGCAUCUGCGUGCUUCCCACACCCAGUGUAACCACUGAGUUGUGCCAAGCAAUUGGCAUAGCCAAACCAAACCCUGAAGAAAAGAUUGCCAUACAAUGGCGGUCAAAAACGAAAACAACUCUCAACAACGGAUAUCUUGGCUCUCGCAACGAUGAAGAACGCAGCGAAAUGCGAUACGUAGUGUGAAUUGCAGAAUUCCGUGAACCAUCGAAUCUUUGAACGCAUAUUGCGCUCGAGCCCUCGGGCAAGAGCAUGUCUGCCUCAGCGUCGGUUUACACCCUCACACCCCAUCCUUUUGGAUUGUGCCAAGCCUACCUGGCUUGCGGGUGUGGAUUUGGCUUCCCCAAUCGGCCUAGCAGCUGAUUGGGUUGGCUGAAGUUGAGAGGCUUGAGCAAGGACCCAUUAUGGGCAUCAACUGGAUAGGUAGUGCCGGCCAACCUUGGUCGCUUACACGAAGUUGUUGCUUGUGGACCUUGCUGGGGGCCAGCAGGAAACACGCACUAGCGUGACCUAAACCUUCGACCUGAGCUCAGGCAAGAACACCCGCUGAACUUAAGC
rnacentral:rRNA from 1 species